rnacentral:lncRNA from 1 species
UUGGCCAUGGGCGUGACGGAGUUGUUGGCCGCGCGUAGCCCCUGGGUCCUGGACGCUGCUGGUCCGAAGGCAACGCGGCUCGCGCCCUGCGGCCCGCGGGCGAGAGCUCCCCUCAUGGGCGUGACGGAGUUGUUGGCCGCGCGCAGCCCCUUGGUCCUGGACGCUGCUGGUCCGAAGACGACGCGGCUCGCGCCCUGCGGCCCGCGGGCGAGACCUCCCCGGUGAGCAGCCGCGGGCGACGCCGCCGCCGCGGCCUUGGUGCCCAGCUUGAAGGCCAUCGCCACCAACCACCACCUCCGGCACGAGCACCUUAAUUCGGGACGCU